GAUGAACGCUGGCGGCGUGCCUAAUACAUGCAAGUCGAGCGAACGGACGAGAAGCUUGCUUCUCUGAUGUUAGCGGCGGACGGGUGAGUAACACGUGGAUAACCUACCUAUAAGACUGGGAUAACUUCGGGAAACCGGAGCUAAUACCGGAUAAUAUUUUGAACCGCAUGGUUCAAAAGUGAAAGACGGUCUUGCUGUCACUUAUAGAUGGAUCCGCGCUGCAUUAGCUAGUUGGUAAGGUAACGGCUUACCAAGGCAACGAUGCAUAGCCGACCUGAGAGGGUGAUCGGCCACACUGGAACUGAGACACGGUCCAGGCUCCUACGGGAGGCAGCAGUAGGGAAUCUGCCGCAAUGGGCGAAAGCCUGACGGAGCAACGCCGCGUGAGUGAUGAAGGUCUUCGGAUCGUAAAACUCUGUUAUUAGGGAAGAACAUAUGUGUAAGUAACUGUGCACAUCUUGACGGUACCUAAUCAGAAAGCCACGGCUAACUACGUG
rnacentral:rRNA from 1 species